rnacentral:rRNA from 1 species
CGUGAGACAGUUCGGUCCCUAUCCGCCGCGCGCGCAGGAAACUUGAGAAAAGCUGUCCCUAGUACGAGAGGACCGGGAUGGACGAACCUCUGGUGUGCCAGUUGUCCCGCCAGGGGCACGGCUGGUUAGCUACGUUCGGAAGUGAUAACCGCUGAAUGCAUCUAAGCGGGAAGCACAUUUCAAGAUAAGGUUUCCCACCACAAUUGUGGGUAAGGCCCCCAACAGACUAUUGGGUUGAUAGGCCGGAGGUAUACAGCAGCAAUGCCUAGCCGACCGGUACUAAUAGGCCGAGGGCUUGUCUUC